UAAUUAUUGUAUUCUAACAUCAGAUCAGCGGUAAAAUAUUUAGAAUAGAUGAUGUCAAGAGCUAAGAGAGUUUGUCAGGAGACAGACUUCCGAUCCGUAACUCAUAAUUCUAAUUGAUGAGACAGAACGUGAAAGGUGAGUUAACUCUUAAACUAAAAACAUAUGUUAACUCUGACCUAUUCUAUUAUUAUUUAACUCCUUCACAAUUUAUGAGAAUUUGCAUACAUUAUAAAAUGCAAUGUUUGCCUGUCUUUCUGUUCCACAUUAGUUCCCACACCAUUUGGCCUGUCAGGACCAAACUUUAUGGGCUGACUUCCCAUUACUCUGCAGUAACAUAGGAUACCCAAAAUCAAAAUUGACUCAGAUGAUAAGGCAAAUUCAAAUCAUG
rnacentral:lncRNA from 1 species